rnacentral:rRNA from 1 species
UACGUAGGGGCUAGCGUUAUCCGGAAUUACUGGGCAUAAAGGGUGCGUAGGUGGUUUCUUAAGUCAGAGGUGAAAGGCUACGGCUCAACCGUAGUAGGCCUUUGAAACUGGGAAACUUGAGUGCAGGAGAGGAGAGUGGAAUUCCUAGUGUAGCGGUGAAAUGCGUAGAUAUUAGGAGGAACACCAGUUGCGAAGGCGGCUCUCUGGACUGUAACUGACACUGAGGCACGAAAGCGUGGGGAGCAAACAGGAUUAGAUACCCUGGUAGUCCCUGA